GGGGAAUAUUGCGCAAUGGGGGGAACCCUGACGCAGCAACGCCGCGUGAGCGAAGAAGGCCUUCGGGUCGUAAAGCUCUGUCAUUAGGGAAGAAAAAAAUGACGGUACCUAAUGAGGAAGCCCCGGCUAACUACGUGCCAGCAGCCGCGGUAAUACGUAGGGGGCAAGCGUUGUCCGGAAUUACUGGGCGUAAAGGGUGCGUAGGCGGCCUGAUAAGUCAGAUGUGAAAUACCAGGGCUCAACCUUGGGGGUGCAUUUGAAACUGUUAGGCUUGAGUGCAGGAGAGGAAAGUGGAAUUCCUAGUGUAGCGGUGAAAUGCGUAGAGAUUAGGGGGAACACCAGUGGCGAAGGCGACUUUCUGGACUGUAACUGACGCUGAGGCACGAAAGCGUGGGGAGCGAAC
rnacentral:rRNA from 1 species